rnacentral:sRNA from 1 species
GAUACCAGGGUCAAAAGGUCUGUACACACAUGAGCUUGCUCAUGUGUGGGUACAAGACCUUGGUACCCACCCCGAUAUGAGCAUGAAAGUGGGAUGAAUCUCCCACAAUAUGUGAAUAUUGGGAAGGAUUGUGAGAGUGCGCAGCACGUAGCAAUCCGCAGGUAU